rnacentral:misc_RNA from 1 species
AGUCUGUCAGUCAAAUCGAGUUAUUUACGACGACAGUCAAGUUUACGUGUUGUGUACUUUAGCACAGUGAUUUAUGACGAAUAAAUAUAAUUUGUUUAUUAAAUUCCCCAUUACAUAUAUUUGAAUGGCGUUAUUGUAAUAAUCCCAAUAUUAUAAGUGUAUUUUGCAUUUACACGUGCCGGUUACGUCGUAGUAAUCUCGGAUAGUGUGAAAGUAUGAGUGAACCAAGACAAUUUGAAGUAAACUCUGACCCUUGUUUAUCUAAUGCUGCCGUUACGGGUGGCAUAGAUACGCCCGCGUUUAGAAACCCUAUUCCUUCAACCUCCACAGGCAUGACCGGAUUGGGGCCUCCCUCUUUGCCUCCCAGACCAGACCUUAGCAUGCAAAGCUAUGGGAUGAAUCAAGGAUACUCAUCCUAUGGUAUGGGAGGUAUGGGAUCAUACGGCAUGGGGGGAACGUAUGGUAUGGGAGGAUAUGGAGGUAUGGGAUAUGGAAUGGGAAUGGGAGGGUAUGGAAUGGGCAUGGGAGGGAUGGGAAUGGGAUAUGGAGGAUACAAUAGAUUUGGAGGACCAAUGUACGGAGGAGAUAUUGAAAGCAGAUUUAUACAAAUGGCAGAGGAGAGUUCGCGGCCAGCAUUUGAUUCCAUCCAAAGUCUAGUAGGAGCAGUGGGCAGUGUUGCCAUGAUGCUCGAGAAUACAUUCUUUGCUCUCACCAGUUCUUUCAGAGCUAUUCUUGGAGUAGCGGAGAACUUUGGUAGACUAAGGUCCCUUUUCGCGCAGUUCUGGUCGACCUUCGCAGUAGUUCGGAGUCUCAACUGGCUCGUCAGGAAACUUAUGGUGUUACUUGGCAUCAGGACCGAGAGUGAAUUUAAGGCGUGGGCCGAAGCGGUAGCGGCGACGCAGGCCGGCGCGGCUACUCCCGAGCAGCGCGCGAAGGGCUCCAGCUGGCCCAUCCUGCUUUUCUUCGGAGUCAUCGCCGCGGCCCCCUACAUCGUACUCAAGAUGCUCAGCGGGCUGACCAGCUGUAUUCAUGAGAAAUUGCAUGAUCCGACCACCUGGCAGAACCCUCUCCGCGCAGUCGCCCAGCACGACUUCCAAGCCUCAUCUCCCCAGGAGAUCAGCUUCACCACCUCGCAGGUCCUCACCGUGGCCCCUCAGCACCUGCAAGGCCAGCUCUGGAACUCCGGAUGGCUGAUGGCUUCAACGGACAGACAACAUGCAGGACUAGUACCUGUCAACUACAUCAAAGUCAUCAAACCAGUGGACGGUGCAAACCCAACUGCCAACCAAACGGUUCCAAAUGAAAAGAGUGAGAAGACGGAAGUGACAGGAGCAAGUAUACCGGAUUUGGAUAAGUUCUACAAGCAAGAGCUGUAAGGGAUUUUCUUUUUGUAGCUUAGAUCGUCACACAUUCUUCUUCUUCUUACGGUGUUUGUGUCACACGACUAUAUACCAAAUGAGAUGGUCGGAGAUACAUCCAUCGCAAAAUGACCUAAGUACCCACACCUCACCGAGCUUUCUAUUAGACCAACAUGAUAGGUGGUUAGCCUUGUCGCCGUCAAUAAUGGUAACUAAAAAAUAUGUUUGUUAAUAAUUAUCGAAAGCAAGCCAGUUUCAGAACAAGAUAAUAGAUGGCAUUAUGUUUUUAAUAGACUCGAAAAAACCUUGUAAGUUACAACUAAAUCCAGUUAAUUACGGUCGUAAUCGAACGUAAUAUAACAUAAACAGCCUAUAUACGUUCCACUGCUGGGCACAGGCCUUUCCUUAAUCAACCGGAGGGGGUAUGGAGCAUACUCCACCAAGCUGUUCCGCUACGGGUUGGUGGAGAGAAAUCGACAUCAAACUUAAAACAUAGAAAUGCUUUUAGAAAUAGACCUGUUAAUCUGGUCAAAGGUGAUUUUCCACAAAAUUGAAAAUGACCUCAAGAGCAUCACAAUUUUUUAAAUAGCUUGAAAAUGUAUAUCAAUGCAAAGGUAUGUUUAUAGUGUGUGCACGGUAAAUAUUAUGUUGUGUAUAGGUAGCUAAAAUAUUUUUAAUUCACAAAGGACAUAAGGUUCGUAUUUAUAGUCCGUUCAAAAAUGAUCUUCAUAAAAGGUAAACAAACCUGUUACUACAAAAAAUGUUCGAAUUUCACCUAAACUACGCAAAGUAUUCUUCUAAUAACAUCCGUAGCACUCAAUAGAUGUAUGAUUUCUUAGCUCAAUGUGAAAUUAACGUAAAAUAAUUAUUAAAAACACAUUUUUUCAUGUAAAAACAAAAAUCAAACAAAACCUCACGCAAAAAAGUUGACAUCAUAAAUUCUUGUUAAUCUGUGGCUAGCUGUCAAUUUGACGAUUAGUGAUGAGACAUUUCAUUCAGGUCAGGAAAACGAGUCAGUUCCGUGAAUAACUUAAGUGAGUGUACUGUACUUAAUAAGCCGAAAUGCGCAGAAAAAAAUACUUUCAAAGUGAGUUAGUGUAACCACAAAGAAACAUACAAUAUAUAUUUUAAUAUUAUCAUACAAAAUAUUCAAACAACCCAAGAGAGUCAGUACACUUUGAUAAAAUAACUUGAGCUAAAAUCAAUUCAGCACUUCACUAGUUUGCAGUUUGACACAGAUAAAAAAUAUCGGCAGCCAUAUUUGUUUACCUUUUAUGAAGAUCAUUCUUGAACGGACUAUAGGUCAGAUAUAUAGUAACAGAGGGGUUAAAAUGGCCACUUCGAAGCAAUGCAUCUAAAAAAGCAAUAUUGCAAUUUGACAUUUGCGCAUAUAAAAGUAAGUGCGCAAUGCAAACAAAUGUCAAAUAGCAAUAUAGCUUUCUUGGAUGAAUUGCUUCGAUGUGAACCGCCCUGGUCACAAAAAAAAAAUGUAAACACUGGCCAGCGGGAUUUAUAAAGGGAUCCGUUAGCUACUUAUGAGUACUUAUGAUAUAAUAUAGCAUCACGCCUCUAUCCCAGAAGGGGUACGCAGAGGCGUAUAGUAUUACACCCACUCCUCGUCAUGUUUAGGUAUCAUGUGAUUGGGGCGAGCCUAUUGCCUUUAACCAGGCACAAAUCCUGGAAAUAAGCUCUAGAGCCCGCGCCAGGAUUCGAACCCGUAACAUUACGAUGUAAGCCACGCGUUCUCAGAACAGGGCUAUCAUGGAUUUAUGUAAAAAUAUAUGAUUAUUUGUGAUUGUUGACGUCAUUAACUUUAGCACAUGCAAUAGAUAAUUAUUCAUUAUUGCAACCCUGCAUAAUAGGUUCAUAGUCAUACAUAUUAUUUGAUCAUGGUAUAACAAAACCAGGUAUGCUCAAUCCUAUGAAAAGCCGCCAUUGCUAGCCGUUUGAUGACGUAAGUGUUACCACUGUGUUACCAUUAAAUUGGUAUCUCCAACAUUCCAAGGAC